rnacentral:rRNA from 1 species
ACUCCGGUUGAUCCUGCCGGCGGCCACUGCUAUCAAGUUCCGACUAAGCCAUGCGAGUCAAGGUAUCGUAAGAUGCCGGCAAACUGCUCAGUAACACGUGGAUAAUCUAACCUUGAGUAAGGGAUAACUUCGGGAAACUGAAGGUAAUACCUUAUAAUUGCUUAAAACUGGAAUGUUUUUGCAAUAAAAGUUACGACGCUCAAGGAUGAGUCUGCGACCUAUCAGGUAGUAGGUGGUGUAAUGGACCACCUAGCCUCAGACGGGUACGGGCCCUGGGAGGGGUAGCCCGGAGAUGGACUCUGAGACAUAAGUCCAGGCCCUACGGGGCGCAGCAGGCGCGAACACUGUGCAAUGCGCGAAAGCGCGACACGGGGAGCUUGAGUGUCUUGGCAUAGCCAAGACUUUUCUCAUUCCUAAAAAGCAUGAGGAAUAAGUGCUGGGUAAGACGGGUGCCAGCCGCCGCGGUAACACCCGCAGCACGAGUAGUGGUCACUUUUAUUGAGCCUAAAGCGUUCGUAGCCGGUUUUGUAAAUCUUCAGAUAAAGCCUGAAGCUUAACUCCAGAAAGUCUGAAGAGACUGCAAGACUUGAGAUCGGGUGAGGUUAAACGUACUUUCAGGGUAGGGGUAAAAUCCUGUAAUCCCGGAAGGACGACCAGUGGCGAAAGCGUUUAACUAGAACGAAUCUGACGGUAAGGAACGAAGGCUAGGGUAGCAAACCGGAUUAGAUACCCGGGGGUAGUCCUAGCUGUAAACAUUGCCCAUUUGAUGUUGCUUUUCCGUUGAGGGAAGGCAGUGUCGGAGCGAAGGUGUUAAAUGGGCCGCUUGGGAAGUAUGGUCGCAAGACUGAAACUUAAAGGAAUUGGCGGGGGAGCACCGCAACGGGAGGAAUGUGCGGUUUAAUUGGAUUCAACGCCGGAAAACUCACCGGGAACGACCUGUGCAUGAGAGUCAACCUGACGAGCUUACUCGAUAGCAGGAGAGGUGGUGCAUGGCCGUCGUCAGCUCGUACCGUAGGGCGUUCACUUAAGUGUGAUAACGAGCGAGACCCACAUCUUUAAUUGCAAAUGUAUAUGAGAAUAUGCAUGCACUUUAGAGAAACCGCCAGCGCUAAGCUGGAGGAAGGAGUGGUCGACGGCAGGUCAGUACGCCCCGAAUUUCCCGGGCUACACGCGCAUUACAAAGAACGGGACAAUACGUUGCAACCUCGAAAGAGGAAGCUAAUCGCGAAACCCGUCCAUAGUUAGGAUUGAGGGCUGUAACUCGCCCUCAUGAAUCUGGAUUCCGUAGUAAUCGCGGGUCAACAACCCGCGGUGAACAUGCCCCUGCUCCUUGCACACACCGCCCGUCAAACCAUCCGAGUUGGUGUUGGAUGAGGUUUAAUUCGAGAGGGUUAAAUCAAAUCUGAUGUCGGUGAGGAGGGUUAAGUCGUAACAAGGUAUCCGUAGGGGAACCUGCGGAUGGAUCACCUCCA